GGAAGCGUGGCGGAGUGGUUUAUCGCGGCGGUCUCAAAAAUCGCAGGGGCCAGCACCCUCAGAAAGUCCGUGCCCCCGUGGGUUCAAAUCCCACCGCUUCCGCCA
rnacentral:tRNA from 1 species